CUACGGGUGCUGCAGUGGGGAAUAUUGGACAAUGGGGGCAACCCUGAUCCAGCGAUGCCGCGUGUGUGAAGAAGGCCUUCGGGUUGUAAGGCACUUUUGAUUAGGAGGAAGUUGCUUUGUUGAAUAGAUGAAGUAAUUGACGUUACUGAUUGAAUAAGCACCGGCUAACUCUGUGCCAGCAGCCGCGGUAAUACAGAGGGUGCGAGCGUUAAUCGGAAUGACUGGGCAUAAAGGGCGUGUAGGCGGACAUAAAGGUUAGAUGUGAAAUACCUGGGCUUAACCUGGGGGAGUCAUCUAAGACGUUAUGACUUGAGUGCAGAAGAGGGAGGCGGAAUUUCCAGUGUAGCGGUGAAAUGCGUAGAUAUUGGAAAGAACACCAGUGGUGAAGACGGCCUUCUGGACUGUGACUGACGCUGAGGCGCGAAAGCGUGGGUAGCGAACAGGAUUAGAUACCCGGGUAGUC
rnacentral:rRNA from 1 species